rnacentral:rRNA from 1 species
UACGGAGGGUGCAAGCGUUAUCCGGAUUCACUGGGUUUAAAGGGUGCGUAGGUGGGCAGGUAAGUCAGUGGUGAAAUCUCCGGGCUUAACCCGGAAACUGCCAUUGAUACUAUCAGUCUUGAAUACCGUGGAGGUAAGCGGAAUAUGUCAUGUAGCGGUGAAAUGCUUAGAUAUGACAUAGAACACCGAUAGCGAAGGCAGCUUGCUACACGAGUAUUGACACUGAGGCACGAAAGCGUGGGGAUCAAACAGG